GAAUUUUAUUAAUAUUGAUUUAAAUAAUUUAUUUUAAUAAAUAUUAAUUUUGUUGGGGGGACAUUUAAAUUAUAUUAACUUUAAAAUUAAUAAAACAUUAAUUAAUGGAUUUAUAUUGAUGAAUUUAAGAUGAUAUUGUUAGCAUAAAUUACCUUAGGGAUAACAGCAUAAUAUCUUUGGAGAGUUCAUAUUGAUAAAGAUGUUUGU
rnacentral:rRNA from 1 species